rnacentral:rRNA from 1 species
UUUUCCUACGGGGGGCAGCAGUGGGGAAUAUUGCACAAUGGGCGAAAGCCUGAUGCAGCAACGCCGCGUGAGCGGUGAAGGCCUUCGGGUCGUAAAGCUCUGUCCUCAAGGAAGAUAAUGACGGUACUUGAGGAGGAAGCCCCGGCCAACUACGUGCCACCAGCCGCGGUAAUACGCAGGGGGCUAGCGUUAUCCGGAAUUACUGGGCGUAAAGGGUGCGUAGGUGGUUUCUUAAGUCAGAGGUGAAAGGCUACGGCUAAA